UUGAGCAAAUGAUCACUUCAUCAUCUUCCUAUAUCACUGCAUUUUCACUUGUUCCCAAAUUUCAGCAAAUAAGUCUUUAUCUGCAAAAACAUGGGAAACACAGCUGAAGAGAAGUCGCAAAUCACACUUCUCACACCUUACAAAAUGGGAAAUUUUCAGCUCUCUCAUAGAAUUUGUUUUCAUGAAGUGUGUAUUCAUUCUGUUUUGGACAGAAUAGUUUUGGCGCCACUGACUGUCUUUCAAGAACGUGGCUCAGCCUCAGCCUCAGAGAGCAAGCAAAGGGGGUUUUAUGUUGAGUGAAGCAACCGGAAUUUCUGAUACUGCACAAGGCAUUUUGCUCUUGUAGAUACUCCGGGGAUCUGGACAAAGGAGCAAGUGGAGGCUGAAAACAUGUAGCUAAAAGCAUGAUGAAGAAGAACGAACUUAAAAUAUUGCAGAGAGCCAUGAUCAAGAACUCAGAAUGUAUUUUCAUUUUAAUGAUUGAGAACGCAAGAUCCUUUAACAUAUACUUCAUAUUCGAAA